rnacentral:rRNA from 1 species
GACGAACGCUGGCGGCGUGCUUAACACAUGCAAGUCGAACGGAAAGGCCCUGCUUUUGUGGGGUGCUCGAGUGGCGAACGGGUGAGUAACACGUGAGUAACCUGCCCUUGACUUUGGGAUAACUCCAGGAAACUGGGGCUAAUACCGGAUAGGAGCUCCUGCUGCAUGGUGGGGGUUGGAAAGUUUCGGCGGUUGGGGAUGGACUCGCGGCUUAUCAGCUUGUUGGUGGGGUAGUGGCUUACCAAGGCUUUGACGGGUAGCCGGCCUGAGAGGGUGACCGGCCACAUUGGGACUGAGAUACGGCCCAGACUCCUACGGGAGGCAGCAGUGGGGAAUAGUGCACAAUGGGCGGAAGCCUGAUGCAGCAACGCCGCGUGCGGGAUGACGGCCUUCGGGUUGUAAACCGCUUUCGCCUGUGACGAAGCGUGAGUGACGGUAAUGGGUAAAGAAGCACCGGCUAACUACGUG